AUACGUAGGGGGCGAGCGUUGUCCGGAAUGAUUGGGCGUAAAGGGCGUGUAGGCGGCCUGUUAAGUCUGAAGUGAAAGUCCUGUUUUCAAGAUGGGAAUUGCUUUGGAUACUGGCGGGCUUGAGGGCAGGGGAGGUUAUCGGAAUUUCCGGUGUAGCGGGGAAAUGCGUAGAGAACGGGAGGAACACCAGUGGCGAAGGCGGGUAACUGGACUGCAACUGACGCUGAGGCGCGAAAGUGUGGGGAGCAAACAGGAUUAGAUACCCUGGUAGUCCACACUGUAAACGAUGAAUGCUAGGUGUAGGGGGUAUCGACCCCUUCUGUGCCGCAGUCAACACAAUAAGCAUUCCGCCUGGGGAGUACGGCCGCAAGGUUGAAACUCAAAUGAAUUGACGGGG
rnacentral:rRNA from 1 species